rnacentral:rRNA from 1 species
GACGAACGCUGGCGGCGUGCUUAACACAUGCAAGUCGAACGGAAAGGCCCUGCUUUUGUGGGGUGCUCGAGUGGCGAACGGGUGAGUAACACGUGAGUAACCUUCCCUUUACUUUGGGAUAACUUCAGGCAACUGGGGCUAAUACCGGAUAGGAGCUCCUGCUGCAUGGUGGGGGUUGGAAAGUUUCGGCGGUUGGGGAUGUACUCGCGGCUUAUCAGCUUGUUGGUGGGGUAGUUGCUUACCAAGGCUUUGACGGGUAGCCGGCCUGAGAGGGUGAACGGCCACAUUGGGACUGAGAUACGGCCCAGACGCCUACGGGAGGCAGCAGUGGGGAAUAUUGCACAAUGGGCGGAAGCCUGAUGCAGAAACGCCGCGUGCGGGAUGACGGCCUUCGGGGUGUAAACCGCUUCCGCCUGUGACGAAGCGUGAGUGACGGUAAUGGGUAAAGAAGCACCGGCUAACUACGUG